rnacentral:rRNA from 1 species
UUGGAGAGUUUGAUCCUGGCUCAGGAUGAACGCUGGCGGCGUGCCUAACACAUGCAAGUCGAGCGAUUCUCUUCGGAGAAGAGCGGCGGACGGGUGAGUAACGCGUGGGUAACCUGCCCUGUACACACGGAUAACAUACCGAAAGGUAUGCUAAUACGAKAUGAUAUAUUUUUAUCGCAUGAUAAAAAUAUCAAAGCUUUUGCGGUACAGGAUGGACCCGCGUCUGAUUAGCUAGUUGGUAAGGUAACGGCUUACCAAGGCGACGAUCAGUAGCCGACCUGAGAGGGUGAUCGGCCACACUGGAACUGAGACACGGUCCAGACUCCUACGGGAGGCAGCAGUGGGGAAUAUUGCACAAUGGGCGAAAGCCUGAUGCAGCAACGCCGCGUGAGCGAUGAAGGCCUUCGGGUCGUAAAGCUCUGUCCUCAAGGAAGAUAAUGACGGUACUUGAGGAGGAAGCCCCGGCUAACUACGUGCCAGCAGCCGCGGUAAUACGUAGGGGGCUAGCGUUAUCCGGAAUUACUGGGCGUAAAGGGUGCGUAGGCGGUCUUUCAAGCCAGAAGUGAAAGGCUACGGCUCAACCGUAGUAAGCUUUUGGAACUGUAGGACUUGAGUGCAGGAGAGGAGAGUGGAAUUCCUAGUGUAGCGGUGAAAUGCGUAGAUAUUAGGAGGAACACCAGUAGCGAAGGCGGCUCUCUGGACUGUAACUGACGCUGAGGCACGAAAGCGUGGGGAGCAAACAGGAUUAGAUACCCUGGUAGUCC